rnacentral:rRNA from 1 species
GAUGAACGCUGGCGGCGUGCUUAACACAUGCAAGUCGAACGAGAAAUGUAGACGGAAACCUUCGGGCGGAAGCCUUCAUUUCGAGUGGCGGACGGGUGAGUAACGCGUGGGUAACCUGCCUCAUACAGGGGGAUAACAGUUGGAAACGACUGUUAAUACCGCAUAAGACCACAGCAUCGCAUGAUGCGGGGGUAAAAACUCCGGUGGUAUGAGAUGGACCCGCGUUCGAUUAGCCAGUUGGCGGUGUAACGGCCCACCAAAGCGACGAUCGAUAGCCGAUCUGAGAGGAUGACCGGCCACAUUGGGACUGAGACACGGCCCAAACUCCUACGGGAGGCAGCAGUGGGGAAUAUUGCACAAUGGGGGAAACCCUGAUGCAGCGACGCCGCGUGAGUGAAGAAGUACUUCGGUAUGUAAAGCUCUAUCAGCAGGGAAGAAAAUGACGGUACCUGAGUAAGAAGCCCCGGCUAACUACGUG